CCCGCAACUUCCCCUGCCCGAGAGUGCAAAUGGGAGAGCGAGACGAGGUGGAGGAAGCCCCCCUAGGGACCUAGUUCCCGCAAAGCAUAAGACAACUGGCUUCAGAAACAGAUAUACUAUCCAGCGGGAUAAGGAGAAAAACCACUCCACCUGCCGCCAGACCCAGCGCGCUCAGAGGGAUUCCCAACUUUGCUAGCUGCGCGGUUUUGGGGUCGGGGGGUCGGAGGAGGUGGGGGUGAGGUCGGGCAGGAACCUGGGCUGAGGCACAGGGGACCUGGUGAUAGUCUUUAGUUCCCUGUGCGGACGUGUCCUUAUGUCUAUCCCCGUCUGAGCCUCAAAGUUUUCAUCUGAGAAAUGGGAAAAGCAGCUACCUGCAGGGGUCCUGUUUUCCUGUCUGCAUAAUGGGAGUGAGGCUGGCCAGUUGCUCGGGCUCCUUCUAGCUUAGAGAUGCUGGGCCCUACGCGGUGGAUUGGAUCGCCCCCUUCUGGACUGUAAAUCUCCGUUCCUCGGACCGAUGGGCCUAGAUGAAAUGUUGGAGAGGCGGGCAGGCCUCUUUCCCUACACGUCCAUGUCCGCCGCGGUUUCAGCACUACGGAGGACGACAGCGUCAACUCCGACCCCCAUCUUUUUGGCCUCAAGUACCUCGCCUAAGCGGGCUCUUAGAUUUGAGGAUUCAGCACCAUGGACAGACCUUCC